UGCGCAGGCGGCCUGGUAAGUCAGGGGUGAAAUAUGACGGCUCAACCGUCAAACUGCCCCUGAAACUGUCAGGCUUGAGUCCGGGAGAGGAAGGUGGAAUUCCUGGUGUAGCGGUGAAAUGCGUAAAUAUCAGGAGGAACACCGGUGGCGAAGGCGGCCUUCUGGCCCGGUACUGACGCUCAUGCACGAAAGCCAGGGGAGCGAACG
rnacentral:rRNA from 1 species